rnacentral:misc_RNA from 1 species
GAUGAAGAACGUAGCGAAAUGCGAUAAGUAAUGUGAAUUGCAGAAUUCAGUGAAUCAUCGAAUCUUUGAACGCAUCUUGCGCUCCUUGGUAUUCUGAGGAGCAUGCCUGUUUGAGUGUCAUUGCUGCCCUCAAGCACGGCUUGUGUGUUGGGCCUCCGUCCUCCUCCCGGGGGACGGGCCCGAAAGGCAGCGGCGGCACCGCGUCCGGUCCUCGAGCGUAUGGGGCUUCGUCACCCGCUCUUGUAGGCCCGGCCGGCGCUUGCCGACACAUCAAUCUUUUUUCCAGGUUGACCUCGGAUCAGGUAGGGAUACCCGCUGAACUUAAGCAUAUCAAUAAGCGGAGGA